rnacentral:rRNA from 1 species
AACGAACGCUGGCGGCAUGCCUAACACAUGCAAGUCGAACGAGAUCCUUCGGGGUCUAGUGGCGCACGGGUGCGUAACGCGUGGGAAUCUGCCCUUAGGUUCGGAAUAACAGUUAGAAAUGACUGCUAAUACCGGAUGAUGACGUUAAGUCCAAAGAUUUAUCGCCUGAGGAUGAGCCCGCGUAGGAUUAGCUAGUUGGUGUGGUAAAGGCGCACCAAGGCGACGAUCCUUAGCUGGUCUGAGAGGAUGAUCAGCCACACUGGGACUGAGACACGGCCCAGACCCCUAGGGGAGGGAGGGGGGGGAAAUAUGGAAAAAGGGGCGCAAGCUUGACCCAGCAAUGCCGGGGGAGGAAGGAAGGCUUUGGGGUGGAAAACUUUUUUUACCGGGGAUGAUAAGAACAGUACCGGAAAAAAAAGCCCCGGCUACCCCCGGC